rnacentral:misc_RNA from 1 species
GUGGUUCCUCCACCAAGACUCGAUCAUGUAGCAGUCAGCAUGCCUUGUGGAAGGAUUAUCAUUUUCGGUGGCUCCAUUGCUGGGCUACAUUCACCUUCUCAACUUUUCCUUUUGGAUCCAGCCGAGGAGAAGCCGUCAUGGAGGAUUCUCAACGUUCCUGGACAACCACCUAAAUUUGCUUGGGGCCACAGUACUUGUGUGGUUGGAGGUACAAGAGUUUUGGUAUUG